rnacentral:sRNA from 1 species
GUGAAAGGCCUGUGGAAGGAAGGCCUCUGUUUAUCUACAGAACAGUUAUAGCGCGUGGGCAAUGGCCGUGCAAGCUUCCCCUGGCUGCCCCACCAGUGAGUUUCAAUCCCAACCUCAAGAGACUAAAGGUAACAUUUUCAAAAAUGCCUCAGUGACUUAGGAACU